GAUGAAGAACGUAGCGAAAUGCGAUAAGUAGUGUGAAUUGCAGAAUUCAGUGAAUCAUCGAAUCUUUGAACGCACAUUGCGCCCCUUGGUAUUCCAUGGGGCAUGCCUGCUCGAGCGUCAUUUGUACCUUCAAGCUCUGCUUGGUGUUGGGUGUUUGUCUCGCCUCUGCGUGUAGACUCGCCUCAAAACAAUUGGCAGCCGGCGUAUUGAUUUCGGAGCGCAGUACAUCUCGCGCUUUGCACUCAUAACGACGACGUCCAAAAGUACAUUUUUACACUCUUGACCUCGGAUCAGGUAGGGAUACCCGCUGAACUUAAGCAUAUCAAUAAGCGGAGGA
rnacentral:misc_RNA from 1 species